rnacentral:rRNA from 1 species
GUGGGGAAUCUUGCGCAAUGGGCGAAAGCCUGACGCAGCCAUGCCGCGUGAAUGAUGAAGGUCUUAGGAUUGUAAAAUUCUUUCACCGGGGACGAUAAUGACGGUACCCGGAGAAGAAGCUCCGGCUAACUUCGUGCCAGCAGCCGCGGUAAUACGAAGGGGGCUAGCGUUGCUCGGAAUUACUGGGCGUACAGGGCGCGUAGGCGGACAGGUUAGUCAGAGGUGAAAGCCAAGGGCUCAACCUUGGAAUUGCCUUUGAUACUGGCUGUGUUGAGUUUGGGAGAGGUGAGUGGAACUCCGAGUGUAGAGGUGAAAUUCGUAGAUAUUCGGAAGAACACCAGUGGCGAAGGCGACUCACUGGCCCAAUACUGACGCUGAGGCGCGAAAGCGUGGGGAGCAAACAGGAUUAGAUACCCCAGUAGUCC